GACGAACGCUGGCGGCGUGCUUAACACAUGCAAGUCGAACGGUGAAGCGCCUUCCUUUUUGGUGGGUGUGGAUGAGUGGCGAACGGGUGAGUAACACGUGAGUAACCUGCCCCCUUCUUCUGGAUAACCGCAUGAAAGUGUGGCUAAUACGGGAUAUUCUGGGUCUGUCGCAUGAUGGGUCUGGGAAAGAUAUUGUUUCGGUGGGGGAUGGGCUCGCGGCCUAUCAGCUUGUUGGUGGGUGAUGGCCUACCAAGGCGGUGACGGGUAGCCGGCCUGAGAGGGUGGACGGCCACACUGGGACUGAGACACGGCCCAGACUCCUACGGGAGGCAGCAGUGGGGAAUAUUGCACAAUGGGCGCAAGCCUGAUGCAGCGACGCCGCGUGAGGGAUGGAGGCCUUCGGGUUGUGAACCUCUUUCGCCAGUGAAGCAGGCCUGCCUCGUUUGUGGGUGGGUUGACGGUAGCUGGAUAAGAAGCGCCGGCUAACUACGUG
rnacentral:rRNA from 1 species